rnacentral:rRNA from 1 species
AAGCCAGACUCCUACGGGAGGCAGCAGUGGGGAAUAUUGCACAAUGGGGGAAACCCUGAUGCAGCGACGCCGCGUGAGCGAUGAAGUAUUUCGGUACGUAAAGCUCUAUCAGCAAAGAAGAAAAUGACGGUACCUGACCAAGAAGCCCCGGCUAACUACGUGCCAGCAGCCGCGGUAAUACGUAGGGGGCAAGCGUUAUCCGGAUUUACUGGGUGUAAAGGGAGCGUAGACGGCAGCGCAAGUCUGGAGUGAAAUGCCGGGGCCCAACCCCGGAACUGCUUUGGAAACUGUGCAGCUGGAGUGCAGGAGAGGUAAGCGGAAUUCCUAGUGUAGCGGUGAAAUGCGUAGAUAUUAGGAGGAACACCAGUGGCGAAGGCGGCUUACUGGACUGUAACUGACGUUGAGGCUCGAAAGCGUGGGGAGCAAACAGGAUUAGAUACCCUAGUACC